rnacentral:rRNA from 1 species
UACAGAGGUGGCAAGCGUUGUUCGGAAUUACUGGGCGUAAAGGGCUCGUAGGCGGCCAACUAAGUCAGACGUGAAAUCCCUCAGCUUAACUGGGGAACUGCGUCUGAUACUGGAUGGCUUGGAUCCGGAAGAGGGAUGCGGAAUUCCAGGUGUAGCGGUGAAAUGCGUAGAUAUCUGGAGGAACACCGGUGGCGAAGGCGGCAUCCUGGGCCGGUAUUGACGCUGAGGAGCGAAAGCCAGGGGAGCAAACGGG